GAGCAGAUCACGUUGCAAAGAAGGACGGUGGGGAAAGGCUUCCAAAAGAUUGUUGCUGGUGUGCGUAGACAUUCAUUAGGCAUGGAGAGAUCCAAGGAAGAGGAGCUCCAGGAGCUUUUAGCCUCAUGCUCCCAAUUUGAGCAAUUCCUGUUUUUCACCCUUCGGGAUCAGGUGUCUAAAGACAAGACCACCGAGGAGGAGCCACUGCCAAGAUUAUCACCAUUUGAACUAGUGUUGCUUUUUUACUUGAAGUCGCUGGUGUACUCAGAAAAAUCAAUACAAGAGACGUUGGUGCACCAA